AACCUAGCACACCUGCGGUGUGUACCUGCGGAGGGAUCAUUACACAAUACAAUAUGAAGGCUGUCCGCAGCUGGAGUAUUUUAUUACCCUUGUCUUUUGCGCACUUGUUGUUUCCUGGGCGGGUUCGCUCGCCACCAGGACCACCAAAUAAACCUUUUUUAUGCAGUUGCAAUCAGCGUCAGUACAAACAAUGUAAAUCAUUUACAACUUUCAGCAAUGGAUCUCAGAUCGGAAGAGCAC
rnacentral:misc_RNA from 1 species